ensembl:rRNA 5S_rRNA 5S ribosomal RNA
GUUUAUAGCCAUACCACCCUGAAUGUGCCUGAUCUUGUUUAUCUCUGAAGCUAAGCAGAGUUGGACCUGCUUAGUACUUGGAUGGGAAAAACAAAAGCAAGUUUCCUCCUGAAAACGAAAACAAAUAGCCUAAGUA